rnacentral:lncRNA from 1 species
CUUCGGUCGCUUAUUUUUUAGCGUGGCUGUGCCCGCAGCCUAUUUUUGGCGCACGGAGGUCCCUCGCAAAGUCUCCCGCCAUUCCGAGUCCGGCGGACGAACUUGGCCAGCCCCACCCCCCAAGGCUAUAGCCACCCGUUUUUGUGGCCUUUUUCCGCUGGACGACCUUGGCGCCCCGGCCUUCGGUCACUUAUUUUUGGACACGGCUGUGCCUGUGGCCUAUUUUUCGCACACGGAGGCACCUCGCAAAGUCUCGCGCCAUUCCGAGUCCGGCGGACGAACUUGGCCAGCCCCACGCCCCGAGGCUAUAGCCCACCCGUUUUUUUGGCCUUUUUCCGCUGGAUGAACUUGGCGCCCCGGCCUUCGGUCGCUUAUUUUUGGGCGCGGCUGUGCCCGCGGCCUAUUUUUGGCACACGGAGGCCCCUCGCAAAGUCUCGCGCCAUUCUAAGUCCGGCGGACGAACUUGGCCAGCCCCACCCCCCAAGGCUAUAGCCCACCCGUUUUUGUGGCCUUUUUCCGCUGGACGAACUUGGCGCCCCGGCCUUCGGUCGCUUAUUAUUGGGCGCGGCUGUGCCCGCGGCCUAAUUUUGGCACACCGAGGCCCCUCGCAAAGUCUCACGCCAUUCCGAGUCCAGCGGACGAACUUGGCGAGCCCCACCCCCCAACGCUAUAUCCCACCCAUUUUUGUGGCCUUUUUCCGCUGGACGAACUUGGCGCCCCGGCCUUCGGUCGCUUAUUUUUGGACGCGGCUGUUCCCGCGGCCUAUUUUUGGCACACGGACGCCCCUCGCAAAGUCUCGCGCCAUUCCGAGUCCGGCGGACGAACUUGGCCAGCCCCACCCCCCAAGGCUAUAGCCCACCCGUUUUUUUGGCCUUUUUCCGCUGGAUGAAAUUGGCGCCCCGGCCUUCGGUCGCUUAUUUUUGGGCGCAGCUGUGCCCGCGGCAUAUUUUUGGCACACGGAGGCCCCUCGCAAAGUCUUGCGCCACUCCGAGUCCGGCGAACGAACUUGGCCAGCCCCACCCCUAAAGGCUAUAGCCCACCCGUUUUUGUGGCCUUUUUCCGCUGGACGAACUUGGCGCCCCGGCCUUCGGUCGCUUAUUUUUGGGAGAGGCUGUGCCCGCGGCCUAUUUUUGGCACACGGAGGCACCUCAUACUGUCUCGCACCAUUCCGAGUCCGGCGGCCGAACUUGGCCAGCCCCACCCCCCAAGGCUAUAGCCCACCCGUUUUUGUGGCCUUUUUCCGCUGGACGAACUUGGCGCCCCGGCCUUCGGUCGCUUAUUUUUGGGCGCUGCUCUGCCCGCGGACUAUUUUUGGCACACGGAGGCCCCUCGCAAAGUCUCGCGCCAUUCCGAGUCCGGCGAACGAACUUGGCCAGCUCCACCCCCCAAUGCUAUAGCCCACCCGUUUUUUUGGCCUUUUUCCGCUGGACGAACAUGGCGCCCCGGCCGUCGGUCGCUUAUAUUCGGGCGUGGCUGUGCGCGCGGCCUAUUUUUGGCUCACGGAGGCCCCUCGUAAAGUCGCGCACCAUUCCGAGUCCGGCGGACGAACUUGGCCAUCCCCACCCCCCAAGGCUAUAGCCCACCCGUUUUUGUGGCCUUUUUCCGCUGGACGAACUUGGCGCCCCGGCCUUCGGUCGCUUAUUUUUGGGCGCGGCGGUGCCCGCGGCCUAAUUUUGGCACACCGAGGCCCCUCACAAAGUCUCGCGCCAUUCCGAAUCCGGCGGACGAACUUGGCCAGCCCCACCCCCCAAGGCUAUAGCCCACCC